rnacentral:rRNA from 1 species
ACGAACGCUGGCGGUGUGCUUAACACAUGCAAGUCGAACGGUAAGGCCCUUUCGGGGGUACACGAGUGGCGAACGGGUGAGUAACACGUGAGUAACCUGCCCUCAUCUCUGGGAUAACAGUCGGAAACGGUUGCUAAUACUGGAUAUGAGCUUGCAAGGCAUCUUGUGGGUUGGAAAGAUUUUUUUGGUUGGGGAUGGACUCGCGGCCUAUCAGCUUGUUGGUGAGGUAGUGGCUCACCAAGGCUUCGACGGGUAGCCGGCCCGAGAGGGCGACCGGGCACAUUGGGACUGGGAAUCGGGCCCAACCCCCACGGGGAGGAGGCGUGGGGGAGUUUGAAACAGGGACGGGAGUCCGAUGCAGCCACGGCGCGGGCAGGAAGGCGGCCUUCGGGUUGUAAACCGCUUUCAAUUGUGACGAAGCUUUUUGUGACGGUAGCAGUAGAAGAAGCACCGGCUAACUACGUG